GCUGGGCGUGGUGGCUCACGCCUGUAAUCCCAGCACUUUGGGAGGCCGAGGUGGGUGGAUCACCUGAGGUCAGGAGUUCGAGACCAGCCUGGCCAACAUGGCGAAACCCCACCUCUA
rfam:Pan troglodytes isolate Yerkes chimp pedigree #C0471 (Clint) chromosome 14, whole genome shotgun sequence.